GGACUUGAGGGUAAUCUGGCUGCAACAUCUGUCACCUCAUUGAUAGCCAGGGUUGAUUCAGCUGAUCUAGCUGACUAGCCCGGUAUGUGUCCUCCCUCAUCACUCCACAUGGAUCCCUCCUGAAGAGGCAUUCUUGGUGAAAGAGGACAACCUUCCCCAGUAGAAGAGGACUAUGCUUUGUUAAGGGUAUACAAGUAGCUGUACUCCCCAGCAGGACCUCCAAAUAAGCUCUCAAAGCACAUCUGCAGAGAAAUAUAAACAAAGAGACCAUGGGCCACAGGGAGGUGUGGAGGCAAGGGCAGCACAGCCUCAUCCAAGACAGGGCAGAAACUCAGUUCUCUGUAUU
rfam:Heterocephalus glaber contig111303, whole genome shotgun sequence.